rnacentral:rRNA from 1 species
GACGAACGCUGGCGGCGUGCCUAAUACAUGCAAGUCGAACGCAGUGGGGACGGGUGAGUAACACGUGGGUAACCUCCCAUCAGAGGGGAUAACACUUUGACACAGGUGCUAAACCGAUACUGAUGGAUGGACCCGCGGUGCAUUAGCUAGUUGGUGAGGUAACGGCUCACCAAGGCCACGAUGCAUAGCAGCUCUGAGAGGGUGAUCGGCCACACGGGGACUGAGACACGGCCGAGACUCCUACGUGCGGCAGUAGGAGGGAAGGUUGGGCAAUGGCCGAAAGUCUGCCCGAGCAACGGCGCGUGAGGUAAGAAGUAAUUCGGAUCGUAAAACACUGUUGUUAGAGAGGCGGUAUCUUACCAGAAAGCCCCUGCUAACGACGUGCCAGCAGCCGCGGUAAUUC